rnacentral:rRNA from 1 species
UACGUAUGGGGCAAGCGUUAUCCGGAUUUACUGGGUGUAAAGGGAGCGUAGGCGGCCUGGCAAGCCUGAUGUGAAAUAUCGGGGCCCAACCCCGGGGCUGCAUUGGGAACUGCCAGGCUGGAGUGCCGGAGAGGCAGGCGGAAUUCCUAGUGUAGCGGUGAAAUGCGUAGAUAUUAGGAGGAACACCAGUGGCGAAGGCGGCCUGCUGGACGGUGACUGACGCUGAGGCUCGAAAGCGUGGGGAGCAAACAGG